rnacentral:rRNA from 1 species
ACACAUGCAGUCGAGCGGGGAAGAGUAGCUCGCUACUUUACCUAGCGGCGGACGGGUGAGUAAUGCUUAGGAAUCUGCCUAUUAGUGGGGGACAACAUCUCGAAAGGGAUGCUAAUACCGCAUACGUCCUACGGGAGAAAGCAGGGGACCUUCGGGCCUUGCGCUAAUAGAUGAGCCUAAGUCGGAUUAGCUAGUUGGUGGGGUAAAGGCCUACCAAGGCGACGAUCUGUAGCGGGUCUGAGAGGAUGAUCCGCCACACUGGGACUGAGACACGGCCCAGACUCCUACGGGAGGCAGCAGUGGGGAAUAUUGGACAAUGGGGGGAACCCUGAUCCAGCCAUGCCGCGUGUGUGAAGAAGGCCUUUUGGUUGUAAAGCACUUUAAGCGAGGAGGAGGCUACCGAGAUUAAUACUCUUGGAUAGUGGACGUUACUCGCAGAAUAAGCACCGGCUAACUCUGUGCCAGCAGCCGCGGUAAUACAGAGGGUGCAAGCGUUAAUCGGAUUUACUGGGCGUAAAGCGCGCGUAGGUGGCCAAUUAAGUCAAAUGUGAAAUCCCCGAGCUUAACUUGGGAAUUGCAUUCGAUACUGGUUGGCUAGAGUAUGGGAGAGGAUGGUAGAAUUCCAGGUGUAGCGGUGAAAUGCGUAGAGAUCUGGAGGAAUACCGAUGGCGAAGGCAGCCAUCUGGCCUAAUACUGACACUGAGGUGCGAAAGCAUGGGGAGCAAACAGGAUUAGAUACCCUGGUAGUCCAUGCCGUAAACGAUGUCUACUAGCCGUUGGGGCCUUUGAGGCUUUAGUGGCGCAGCUAACGCGAUAAGUAGACCGCCUGGGGAGUACGGUCCGCAAGACUAAAACCCAAAUGAAUUGACGGGGG